ensembl:lncRNA
AGGGCCAGGCCAAAAACCUGCUGGAUUUGCCAAUUGGAAGUACUGACCUACCACUUACCCGUUCCCGAUGCAUUCGGACAGGGGAUUCCGGAGUGAAGCUGCUCCACUCUGGGACAGGUGCCAAUUGCUCACAAAAGGCGAGUGAAAAUAUCAGUGAUCUGCACAAGGAAACGUCGGGGGUGAGUGGAAAAUGCAAACUCGCAUGCAUCCGUGCAACUAACGCAGAAAAAAGUGAAGGAUGGUUGCGAGGGGAGGGGAAGACACAGAAAAAGAGGAUCGUGAAAGAAGAGGUGGGGGCGUUUAUUCAAGCCUGUUUGAUGCUCCUCGGGCCUUCGAGAGCCGAUCGCAUGUGCCGUGGUAACUGCGGGACCAUUUGCAUGUGGCAGACACGCUAAUUGUGUGUUUGCUAACAUGCACCAUUCAGCGAGACGCGCUCCGGUCCACAGACGGUGUUCACACACGCCUCCCAGACGCCCCGGAGGCCUCCUAUUGUUCCAGAGGCCCAGCCGAACAGCCGGAGAGCCUAACCAGAGCCCUAUGCUGGCCUGCCGAGAGGAGAAACUGGAAUUGGAGACCAGACGGGAUAACGGAACGGGACGGACUCGCAGCCCCUCUCUCUCUUUCUCUCCGCAGCAUGAAAAAAGAGGCCUGUGGGAAGCGCUGCCUCCGGACGCUGACGUCCUCGCAGAUGUGUGCAAAAGUAGAGUUUGAAAUGGACUAACCAAGAUGCAGCCCUGCACAGAUGCAGACAGACAGAGAUGAAGACAGAACAAGAGUUUGAAACGCUUCUCUUCAUGAAUAGUUUGCUUGUUUCGUAUCCGAGUUCAUUUCCUCUCUCCAUCUGUUCGGUUCUGAGUGUGGACCCCGCAGGUGCUGCUGAAGACCGCUGCUUCACGUGUCUGCUGUGAUGUGUUGAGGACAUCUCUCCAGCGGAUCCCACUGUCCUUUGGGGUGAGGUAGUAGGUUGUAUAGUUUUAGGGUGACACCCUUCCUGUUAGAUAACUAUACAACUUACUGUCUUUCCUGAAGAGGCUGUAAUAUCACCGUCAUCUUCCCCUUUAAGCCUGACCACGGAUGGACCAGUGUUAUUUUAGUAUUAUUGCUCAACUGUUAUAGUUUUUGUUCAUCUUUUGAAUUCAAUUUUAUUUUAACAUUUUCAGGUUUCAUUUUAAUUUCAGGCAAAGGUUUAGUGUUUUUUCAUCAAUUGUAUUUUUAUAUUUUUUUAAAUCAUUUUUAUUUAUUCAUUUUAGUUUAAUUUGUAAUUUUGAUGUCUGAAAUGUGGCAAGUAGCUGAAAUAAGGUAGUUUAUUAUAUAUAUUUUUCAUUUGUUGUAGUAAUGAGGUGUGUGUGUGUGUGUGUGUGUGUGUGUGUGUGUGUGUGUGUGUGUGUGUGUGUGUGUUUUUUUAU